rnacentral:rRNA from 1 species
GAUGAACGCUGGCGGCGUGCCUAAUACAUGCAAGUCGAGCGAACAGACGAGGAGCUUGCUCCUCUGACGUUAGCGGCGGACGGGUGAGUAGCACGUGGAUAACCUACCUAUAAGACUGGGAUAACUUCGGGAAACCGGAGCUAAUACCGGAUCAUAUAUUGAACCGCAUGGUUCAAUAGUGAAAGACGGUUUUGCUGUCACUUAUAGAUGGAUCCGCGCCGGAUUAGCUAGUUGGUAAGGUAACGGCUUACCAAGGCAACGAUGCGUAGCCGACCUGAGAGGAGGAACCGCCAAACUGGAACUGGGACACGGGCCCGACUCCCAAGGGAGGCAGCAGUGGGGAAUAUUGCACAAUGGGGGGAAGCCUGAACGAGCCACACCGGGGGGGUGAAGAAGGGCUUCGGGUUGUAAAACCUUUUUUUUGGGGAAGAAAAAAAGGGGUAAAAAACAACGCUGUUCUGACGGUAACCAAAGAAGAAGCCCCGGCUAACUUCGGG